GUAUCCACUGUUUAUGCAUUGCUUCGAAACAGUCAAAUGUGUACAUGGAUUUUAGAGGUGUAGGGUACAAAAACUGUGUUAAGAGUUCAGAAAUUCAUUCUGUGUGAUCAAUGCAGGUAAGAAUUAUUUUCUAAUGAUGCUAUGCAUGUGCGAAUGAGAAGAUUACUUUUCUGUAGGUCAUGCAUUUUCUUUUUGUAUUUCACAUAUUUAUUUUUAUAAAGUCGUGCAAUUAGUUGAUAAUAAUAUAAUUGAAAGUUAGAAAAAGAAUACAUGUUGGAAGUUGAAUGAUAGCUUGUUUGACAAAGCUUCAGAAAAAGUAGUCACUGGUCGAAAAAAAUAAAGUUUAUUUCCUACUUGAGGGAAAAAAAAAACUGUUCAAAAACCGCAAAGAUGUUUGGCAAAAAAAAUUACUUAGCUUCUCUCAGCCAAACUUGCUUUAGCCAAUAGCAUUGCUCUUCAAUCGCAUAUAGGUCAUUCAUGGGGAUUCCAAGUUAAAUAUUAGAUCCUACGUUUGCAUUUUGAAUUUUAUUUUCGAUAGCCAUAUUGUGGUUCUUAGAUAACUGUAAAGCUUUCCUGCAGAUCCAUGGUGACAAUAUUCGUAAUGCUACAUUUGUCACAAAUGGUACUGGAGCUAUGCAUCCUUUAGUUGUUGAAAAUCGAAAGGAUGAUGAUAAUUUUGGUUCUGACAGGCUCCUGCAGUUGGUAAAGACUACGAACUAGUAAAAUUAGACAGCUCUCCCACUCUUGUCAAGAUGGUUUAAAUACAGCCCUUGCCGCAAUCAAAAGUACAUGCUUUGGGAAUCCCUCUCAGAAGUUGACUGGCUCUUCUACAUUUGUGAGAACAUGCAACAGGAGACAAAUACACGACGCUAAAGAAUUGUAUGAACCUCUGAAUCAUCACUCUCUAAAUUUCUCUUUUAACCCUUUUUUAGCUACUCCAAAACACGUAAACCUACAGGGGCCAAGGGAACGUGAAAGUUUGCCGAACCUUGCAUAAUCUUAAUGAAUGUGUUGACUUUUAGGAAGCAUGGAAAGGUGAAGCUAGGCAACGUCGUGGCUGGAGGAAAUGAUUCAGUAUGCAAGGUGUUAUGGGUGAUUAAUCUCUACCUUUUCGACAAUUGGAUAUGUUUUAAGAGGUGGGUAAUCUUGUUAGAUUGUACGAUUAAAAAUGAGAAAAAUAACAAUCUCAAAUUUCUCAUCCUUAGAACUUUAAACUAAUGUAAUUAGUUUCCUAACACGAAC
rnacentral:lncRNA from 1 species